AGAGUUUGAUCAUGGCUCAGGACCAACGCUGGCGGCGUGCGUAACACAUGCAAGUCGGACGCGCGGGGGGAGACCUCUGGCGCGUGGCGGACGGGUGAGGAACACGUGAGGAACCUGGCCUUGAGUGGGGGAUAACUGUCAGAAAUGAGAGCUAAUCCCGCAUACGGCCGUCCGGGGAGGGCCGGACGGAGAAAGCCUGCGAGGGCGCUCAAGGAGGGGCUUGCGGCCGAUUAGCUAGUUGGUGUGGUAAGAGCGCACCAAGGCGACGAUCGGUAGCUGGUCUGAGAGGACGAGCAGCCACACUGGGAUUGAGAACGGCCCAGACUCCUACGGGGGGCAGCAGUGAGGAAUCUUCGGCAAUGGGGGCAACCCUGACCGAGCGACGCCGCGUGCGGGAAGACGGCCUUCGGGUUGUAAACCGCUUUUCUGGGGGACGAGAGAACGGACGGUACCCCAGGAAGAAGCCUCGGCUAACUACGUGCCAGCAGCCGCGGUAAUACGUAGGAGGCGAGCGUUGUCCGGAGUUACUGGGCGUAAAGGGUGCGCAGGCGGCGUUCCGCGUGGCGAGAUGAAAUCUCCUGGCUUACCUGGGAGGGUGGUCGCCAGACGGGAGCGCUUGAGGGUCGGAGAGGGGCGUGGAAUUCCGGGUGGAGCGGUGAAAUGCGUAGAGAUCCGGAGGAACACCGACGGCGUAGGCAGCGCCCUGGACGACACCUGACGCUGAGGCACGAAAGCUGGGGGAGCGAACAGGAUUAGAUACCCUUGUAGUCC
rnacentral:rRNA from 1 species